rnacentral:lncRNA from 10 species
CUGUGCUCUAAUAGGUAGUUUGUGCAUUAAUUUCUUUUUUAUCAUGUAGAACAUAAAUUACCAACUUUUUUCUGUAAAGGGCCAGUUACUGUGUGAGGCUUUUGAACCAUGAGGUGUCUGUUGCAACUACUCAGCUGGCCGUUGCAGAGUAAAAGCAGACUUAGACAACACAUAAACAAAUGAGCAUGCUUGUGUUCCGAUAAAACUUUAUUUAUGCACACUGAAAUUUGAAUUUCAUAUAACAUUUGCAUGUCAAACAAUAUUAUGAUCCUUUUGAUUUUUUCAACAAUUUAAAAAUGCAAACACUAUUCUUAGCUUGCCAGCCAUACAUAAACAGGUGACAGGCUGGAUUUGGCCAAGGGCCACAGUUUGCAAUAUUUAAUUUAGAAUGCAUUUCCCAUAGGAAAAAAAAUGAUUGUAAAUGUUGUUUGGCUUACCAGAUCAAUCCACAAAAGUCAAUUCAAUCCAUAAAGAAUCAAAAUAUGGCAUAUAUAGCAUGAAUAUUUAUGCUAGCUACUGUUAGUGCUCUCGAUAAUCAUGAAUUUCUUUAAUACUCAGUGCAAUCCUAUGGGGAAACAGGUUUAGAGAGUUUGAGUCACUUUCCUAUCUCAGCUAAGAAGCUGAAUACCUGGGAUUUAAACCAAGGUCUUGGGAUCUCAGAGCUGUGUUAUUCACAGCAAAAGAACCCCACUUGCUCAUAAAUUAGGGGGAUGAUGCCUGGUACCUAGGGAAUCCUCAAUGGAUCUCCGCUACCAGCAUUGUCGUCAUUAUGACUAAGUGUACUACUUCAACUCUACUAAAUCAACAUUUAUGAUACCAUUUCCUAAACCUGGGUCUCAACCUGGGAUGCCCCCACAUUUUUCCCUUCCCUGGCUUUGAAGCCCUCCUCAUUGUCAUUUAGCAAGAGAGAAAGGGAAUUCUCCUAAGUAGGUACGAUUGACUCUUUAAUUUUACACAUUUUUGCCUCUACAUAAGAGCAGAUGUGCCAAUCAUUUCCCAUUUGCUCCAAGGGAACAAGGGUGAAAGAGGACUCCCUUUGCAGCAGAGUCUGGGGCAGCCAUAUUUGGGCCUCUUUGUUGCCCAUUCAUGUUUCAGAGCCAGUCAUGCAUCAGAGGAUCAAGGUGACAUGCGUAGACCUGGGUUACAGCCAUGUGCCAAGUGCCCCGGAGGUUUGAAAUAAAACAUUUCCCCAUCCAUCUGCAUCAUCAGUAAUAUUUUAGUAGCCACGUAAGCUACAAAGUUUGCUGAGAACAAAGAACCCUCCGGGUCAUCUAUAGCUGAAAUUGACAAAUUGAAAUAGACAAAGAUGUAAGUGAAUAUUUUUGUUCCUCCUUCAUUCUUAUCUCCCUGCUCUUGACUUCAGCCAUUUUCCAGUUUCAUAGUGGUCCAUAUUUUUAAACACAUCCCUUGCACCGUCUCUCUGGAUAUCAAAAACCUCAUUCCCCUGGGACCAUUUUCAUACAUCAAGAAACCACUUCAUAGUAAGGUACAGAUACUUCAUUAAACAUGAGGUGUUCUCCCCCGCUGCUCAAUGUCCCCCUUUUGUAUCCAUCUUGAAAGAGAUCACCUGUCACCCAGAAGCGAUUCUCUCCUGGUGUAAUUUGGGCAACAGGACAGGCCACCAGAGGAGAUGUUAUAGUGCGGAGUUCUUGCUAACAUCUUUCUGACAAUAGCAUCUGAUUUGCCUAUGCCUAAAUUCAAUCCUCCUCUUAUAGGUAGUUAAUUAAAUUAUAAACUAAAAUGCUUGUGGACCAGUACCUAUUAUUGCAUAAGAAACAUCCCCGAAUUCAAUGGAUUAAAACGAUGUAUUAUCAUGUCUCAUAGUUGGACUUGUUUAAGCUCAUCUGGGUGGUCCUCACUUGGGGUCAUUCAUGAAGUCGUAGUCAGACUGCUGCUGGGCCUGGAGUCAUCUAAAGACUUCCGGUCUUAGUCUAUUUGUGUUGCUGUACAAGAAUACCUGAGGCUGAGUAAUUUGUAAAGAAUAGAGGUUUAGCCGGGCGCUGUGGCUUACGCCUGUAAUCCCAGCACUUUGGGAGGCUGAGGUAGCCAGAUCACAAGGUCAAGAGUUCGAGACCAGCCUGGCCAACAUGGUGAAACCCCGUCUCUACUAAAAAUGCAAAAAUUAGCCAGGCGUGGUGGCGGGCACCUGUAAUCCCGACUACUUGGGAGUCUGAGGCAGGAGAAUCACUUGAACCCAGGAAGUGGGGGUUGCAGUGAGCUGAGACCAUGCCAUUGCACUCCAGCCUGGGCAACAGAGUGAGACUCUGUCUCCAAAAAAAAAAAAAAAACGAUACAGGUUUAUCUGGCUCAUGGUUCUGCAGACUGAGCAAGAAACAAGAAACACAAUGCCGGCAUCUGCUCCUGGUGAGGGGCUCCAGCUGCUUCCACUUAUGGUAGAGGGGAAGAGAAGCCAGCAUGUGCAGAGAUGGCAAGAGAGGAAGUAAGGAAGAAGGCAGGGAGGUUCCAGGCUCUUUUUAACAGCCAGCUCUAGUGGGAACUAAUAGAGUGAGAACUCCCUCAUUACCACGAGGAUGACACCAAACUAUUCAUGAAGAAUCUGCCCCCAUGACCCAAAUACCUUCUAUCAGGCCCCACCUCCAACAGUGGGAAUUAAUUUCAGCAUGAGAUUUGGAGAGGACACAUAUCCAAACUAUAGCACUUCAUUCACUUGUCUGGUGCCUGGGCGGGGAUAGAAGGAAUAGUAGUGUCUGGUCUAGAAUCCUAUCUAUCUAUCUAUCUAUCUAUCUAUCUAUCUAUCUAUCUAUCUAUCUAUGUACCUACCUACCUAUCUAUCUUCCUCUCCACUCUAUGCAGCCUCUCCAUGUGGUUAGCACAGGCUUCCUCACAGUAUAGCAACUCAUGUCAGCCUGGCCAACAUGGUGAAACUUCAUCUCUACUAAAAAUACAAAAAUUAGCUGGGUGUGGUGGUGCACACGGGUAGUCCCAGCUACUCAAGAGGCUGAGGCAGGAGAAUCGCUUGAAUCUGAGAGGUGGAGGUUGCAGUGAGCCGAGAUCAUGCCACUGUACCCCAGCCUGGGUGACAGAGCAAGACUCCAUCUCAAAAAAAAAAAAAAAAAAAAAAAAGAAAGAAAAAAAGGAAAAUUAUUUUCACAUUUACUGAGAAUCUGCCACACGCUGACCUCUAGUUCUAGUUCUUGGAACUACAAAGAACACUCCUCCUACCUAUCCACGUGAUGACCUUUCAUAUUUUUAAAGACAGCCCCCGACCAGUACAGUGGCUCACGCCUGUAACCCCAGCACUUUGGGAGGCCGAGGUGGGAGGAUUGCUUGAGCCCAGGAGUUCAAGACCAGCCUGGCAAAACCAGGUUGGCGUCGUGGCACAUGCCUGUAGUCCCAGCUAUUUGGGAGGUUGAAACGGGAAGAUCGCCUGAGCCCAGGAGGUCGAGGUUGCAGUGGGCCAUGAUGGUGCCACUGCACUCUAGCCUGAGUGACAGAGCGAGACCCUGUCUCAAAAAAAAAAAAAAAAAAAAAAAUAGACAGCUCUCCUCACUCUCCUGACUCUUCUUUUCUCCAGGCUGCACAUCCGCAAUUUCUUCAUCCAUCUCAGGCAACAUUGUCUCUCCUCUGAACAAACUCCACUUUAUUCAUGUCCCUCUCGCAGCCUCAUUCCACGUGCAAAACAGGAAACCAAUCAGCCAGAGGGAAAUAGACCUCUUCCCACCCCCCAUUCCAGUUAUCUUUAUUCUAACAAUUACUGCAGUUAUAACAAAAUAAUUGUCUUUCGGCCCGGCGCGGUGGCUCAUGCCUGUAAUCCCAGCACUUUGGGAGGCCGAGGCGGGCAGAUUACCUGAGGUCAGGAGUUCGAGACCAGCAUGACCAGCAUGGUGAAACCCCGUCUCC